GAAUAUUGGACAAUGGGCGCAAGCCUGAUCCAGCCAUGCCGCGUGGAUGAUGAAGGCCCUAGGGUUGUAAAGUCCUUUCGGCGGGGAAGAUAAUGACGGUACCCGCAGAAGAAGCCCCGGCUAACUUCGUGCCAGCAGCCGCGGUAAUACGAAGGGGGCUAGCGUUGCUCGGAAUCACUGGGCGUAAAGCGCACGUAGGCGGACUCUUAAGUCGGUGGUGAAAUCCUGGAGCUCAACUCCAGAACUACCUUCGAUACUGAGAGUCUCGAGUCCGGGAGAGGUGAGUGGAACUGCGGGUGUAGAGGUGAAAUUCGUAGAUAUUCGCAAGAACACCAGUGGCGAAGGCGGCUCACUGGCCCGGUACUGACGCUGAGGUGCGAAAGCGUGGGGAGCAAACAGG
rnacentral:rRNA from 1 species